rnacentral:tRNA from 1 species
GGGGGUGUAGCUCAGCGGCCGAGCAGCGGGAUUCUAACCCCCGUGGCACGAAGGUUCGAUUCCUUCCACCCCCA